rnacentral:tRNA from 1 species
AGCUUAGUGGCAGAGCAUUUGCCUAGUGUGCACACGGCCCUGGGUUCAAUUCCCAG